rnacentral:rRNA from 1 species
GUGAGGAAUAUUGGGCAAUGGGCGAAAGCCUGACCCAGCCACGCCGCGUGAGUGAUGAAGGCCUUCGGGUUGUAAAGCUCUGUGGGGAGGGAAGAAAAAGCGCAGGAGUAACUGCCUGUGUGUUGACGGUACCUCCUUAGCAAGCACCGGCUAACUCUGUGCCAGCAGCCGCGGUAAUACAGAGGGUGCAAACGUUGCUCGGAAUUACUGGGCGUAAAGCGCGUGUAGGCUGACAUGCAAGUCGGGUGUGAAAUCCCAGGGCUCAACCUUGGAACUGCACUCGAAACUGCACGUCUUGAGUACUGGCGAGGGAAGCGGAAUUCCGGGUGUAGAGGUGAAAUUCGUAGAUAUUCGGAGGAACACCAGUGGCGAAGGCGGCUUCCUGGACAGUAACUGACGCUGAGACGCGAAAGCGUGGGGAGCAAACAGGAUUAGAAACCCGGGUAGUCC